rnacentral:rRNA from 1 species
AGGAGGCAGCAGUGGGGAAUUUUCCGCAAUGGGCGAAAGCCUGACGGAGCAAUACCGCGUGAGGGAAGAAGGCUCUUGGGUUGUAAACCUCAGAACUUAGGGAAGAGAAAGGACGGUACCUAAUAUAAGCAUCGGCUAACUCCGUGCCAGCAGCCGCGGUAAUACGGGGGAUGCAAGCGUUAUCCGGAAUAAUUGGGCGUAAAGAGUCCGUAGGUGGCACUUCAAGUCUGUGGUCAAAGACAGAAGCUCAACUUCUGGAAGGUGAUGGAAACUGAAGAGCUAGAGUACAGGAGGGGUAGAGGGAAUUCCCAGUGUAGCGGUGAAAUGCGUAGAGACUGGGAAGAACACCAGUGGCGAAGGCGCUCUACUGGACUGAAACUGACACUGAGGGACGAAAGCUAAGGUAGCGAAAGGGAUUAGAAACCCCUGUAGUCCU